rnacentral:rRNA from 1 species
UACGUAGGUGACAAGCGUUGUCCGGAUUUACUGGGCGUAAAGAGCGCGCAGGCGGUCGAUCAAGUCGAGUGUGAAAGCCCCCGGCUCAACUGGGGAGGGUCAUUCGAUACUGAUCGACUCGAAGGCAGGAGAGGGUAGUGGAAUUCCCGGUGUAGUGGUGAAAUGCGUAGAGAUCGGCAGGAACACCAGUGGCGAAGGCGGCCACCUGGCCCGCACCUGACGCUGAGGCGCGACAGCGUGGGGAGCGAACUGG